AANNGGGGAAACCCUGAUCCAGCAAUGCCGCGUGUGUNAAGAAGGCCUUCNNGUUGUAAAGCACUUNCAGUGGGCUAGUAAUUNUCAAGGCUAAUACCCUNUGAGCGUUGACGUUACCCACAGAAGAAGCACNGGCUAACUCUGUGCCAGCAGCCGCGGUAAUNCANAGAGUGCNAGCGUUAAUCGGAAUCACUGGGCGUAAAGCGCGNGUAGGUGGAUAUUUAAGUCGGAUGUGAAAGCCCUAGGCUUAACCUCGGNAUUACAUCCGAUACUAGGUAUCUCGAGUAUGAUAGACGGAAGUGGAAUUUCCGGUGUANCGGUGAAAUGCGUAGAUAUCGGAAAGAACAUCAGUGGCGAAGGCGGCUUCUUGGAGCAAUACUGACANUGAGGCGCGAAAGCGUGGGGAGCAAACANGAUUAGAGACCCUGGU
rnacentral:rRNA from 1 species